UGAGUUUGGUACGCAUUUUAACCAGCCCAACAAGUUGUUGAUAUUGGGUUUUGGGCUAAUUGAUAAGCAUUCCAAGGCAUGAGCUUGAGUUCGAGGCAAGGCCAGCAUUUUUGUUCCCUCUUCUUCUUUCAUCUCCUAACUCACACCUUCACUGAAUGCUGAGUUCCGUGUGAGUGAUUGUAGAACAAGUCCUGUGGGCCUGAGGACUCUCACUCUCAAUAACGAUCGAACCAACCCUUACUUGGAUGAUUAAUGGAUUCUAUUCCACAUGGCUUCUGACGAAGAACAAUAGGGGCAGGAUGUUCAUAUUGAGAAUCAUUUAGAUGAUAUGCAGGUUUGGUUGAAACUGAUCCAGAAGGUGCACUUGCUGGGUCUUCUGAGGUAGUGCGCAUGGAAGAAGAGAAGGCUGACCGGUGCCUAGUUUUUGCCGACAUGCUGAUGGAGUAUGAGGUCAAUCCCUUUGAUGAACAAGAAGCAAAACCAUACAAAAAUGGCCCGGAAAUUUUGGGAGGGACAAAUUAAAGAGCAGCCUAUCAGUGGAAUGAGAUAUUGGAAUUUGAGAAAAUUCUAAAGAGUAACAGAAGAGCCGCUAUGAUCCAUUUGUUAGAA